CACGUCCUCCCCUGCCACUUACACACUGAUUUAGUUUGAAAUCCAAUUGGGACGUAUUGAUAAGCACCAAUGCAUCCUUGGUUUAGUUCCCACUGUCUUGAGUUACCUUGAUUCUUUUGGUAAUAUCAAACUGAUGAAUACCUUUCAGAUCUAUCCAGUUGUUGUAGAAACCAAGCAUUUCUAGCGAGGCGAAACUAAUUCUGGGAGCAAGCCUUAAUGUUGUGGGGGUCGGAUUAAAUGAAUGUAGUGUGCUAACAUGGUACAUCCCUCGAUUUGUAUUUAGUAUUCUCUUCCUGGUUAGCACAUGGAAAGUUAAUUAGUCGGCACAUAUCUAUGAUAAUAGAAGAAGUAGUAAUUAUCUGACAAUAGGUUUCUAAUUUUCUUUGUGCUCAGUCCACAAGAUAGGUGCGUGUUGUUUCUGAUAAUUAUGAUAUUUUCGAACUCAACCUUUUCUGGUUUGUGUUUAAUUAAAAGUUGCUCUAUACUAGAUAUAAGGUGCCAAUACUUCAUUCUUGCAAUGUACUCUUCCCAAUGGUUGCCCUUAUGACCUUUUCAGGUGAAUGAUAGAGGGUCUUUGUUUUAAACCCAUGAAUAUGUUCCUCGCAAUAGGAAGAAUCUAAUAUUGCUUGGCAUGUCUCCUUGAAGUACAGGCAUCCAAGAUUCCAUACCGUGUAUAACGGCUUUGACAUUAAUUUAGAGUACGCUUUGCCCUUCUCAAGCAAUUUCAAGGUUAAUUGUGAUACAUGUGGCAUUUCAAGUAGUAAUUCCGCCCAAAGGUUAGAUUUAUACUUAAGUGUGGCUUCGAAAUUCCAUCGGUAUCUUUGUAAAAGAAUUCAUGUUUUGUUUUUGCAGAAGUCCAUAUGACCUGAUUUAUCAAUAUGCACUAUCAUAUAUGCGCUUAAAUGUAUUCUCUACAUUUUUUUCAGAAAACCAGAUGGAGGAAAAAAUGUGUGUUGCUUUUAUCCGGGAAAACUGAGACUCAGAUGCACAUGCCAAGACCACCGUUAAUUUAUUGCGUGUUUAACGGCUCAGAAUGAAGAAUUGCUACACCGGAACCAGGGCCAUGCAGUGAUUGAUAUUUCGCUUGUGUCGCAGUUUCAUCUGAGAGGUGCGUAUGAUAUGGAGAAUUCUGAACAUGGAAGAUGAAAGACAGAUGUUGGCUGAGUGUGCUGGUCCUAAAGUGUUCCUUCAAUGCUUCUUCACCUGGGAGGCCUCCAAACAAAUGCUAUGUAUUUGCUCUUAUGUGGACGUGGUGGCUAAUCUGAAACAAAGUCAAUGUUGGAGAGAAAAGAUGCCAUGUGAAUGACACACUGUACUGAAUCAGAAGAAAUGUUGUAGAUUAUGAGAUGUUAUGUCUGAAGAAACAAACAACGACUGUGACAGUGGCUCAAAGAUGGAAACCGCCUGAAGCUGAUGUGCUGAAAGUGAACAUUGAUGGUAGUUUCUUCUCGGAUUCAGCUGAGGGAGGCUCUGGUUUUAUAGUCAGAGACAACUCAUGCAAUGCGGUGGGCUCAGGAGCAGGAAAACUUCGUCAGCUUCAAGACCCUAUGCAUGCAGAGGCGGAGGCGUGCUUGCAUGCAAUUCAGGAGGCUCAAACUUGGGCAAUGAGGAGAAUUACUAGACAGACGCACAGGAACUGGUGAAAGCCACCACAUCAAAAGAUUAGGACCUGGCACCUAACGGUGUUCUCUUCCAGGAGAUCAAAGCUUACCUAGCUUUACAUUUUGUUAUGUUUAAAUAAAGUAAAGUACUGUCCUAGACUUUGUAAUAAGGUUGCUGAUGCCCUUGUGGCAUUCGGUGUGAAGAUUUGGUUGCUAGCGAUCUUGCUGUGCACUCUGGUUAAUGUAAUAAGGUUUUCCAUUAAUUCUUUUAACAAAACAAAAGAAAUAUCUAUCCAACACAACGGGCCUGCCUAGAUCAA